rnacentral:rRNA from 1 species
AUUGAACGCUGGCGGCGUGCCUAACACAUGCAAGUCGAGCGAGCAGCGGACGGGUGAGUAAUGUAUGAGGAUCUGCCCGAUCGAGGGGGAUAACUGCUGGAACAGGUGGCUAAUACCGCAUACGAUCGGAUGGGGCCCUAUGGGAUUAGCUAGUAGGUGGGGUAAAGGCUCACCUAGGCGACGAUCCCUAGCUGGCCUGAGAGGAUGAUCAGCCACACUGGGACUGAGACACGGCCCAGACUCCUACGGGAGGCAGCAGUGGGGAAUAUUGCACAAUGGGCGAAAGUCUGAUGCAGCCAUGCCGCGUGUAUGAAGAAGGCCUUCGGGUUGUAAAGUACUUUCAGCGGGGAGGCGUUACCUGCAGAAGAAGCACCGGCUAACUCCGUGCCAGCAGCCGCGGUAAUAC